GCUCAGGAUGAACGCUAGCUACAGGCUUAACACAUGCAAGUCGAGGGGCAGCGGGAUUGAAGCUUGCUUCAAUUGCCGGCGACCGGCGCACGGGUGAGUAACGCGUAUCCAACCUUCCGUACACUCAGGGAUAGCCUUUCGAAAGAAAGAUUAAUACCUGAUGGUAUGAUGAGAUUGCAUGAUAGCAUCAUUAAAGAUUCAUCGGUGUACGAUGGGGAUGCGUUCCAUUAGGUAGUAGGCGGGGUAACGGCCCACCUAG
rnacentral:rRNA from 1 species